AAGGGUGAAAAGAACCCCCGUCGGGGAGUGAAAUAGAACAUGAAACCGUAAGCUCCCAAGCAGUGGGAGGAGCUUAGGGCUCUGACUGCGUGCCUGUUGAAGAAUAAACCGGUGACUCAUAGGCAGUGGUGAACUAACUGCCGAAUCGGAAAAAUUGGGUACUAUCAUAUAGCUUUGUUUCGGCUAAGUUCACGAGUUGGAGA
rnacentral:ncRNA from 1 species